GUUCUUUACCAGGAGGUUGUUGUACUCAAAGCUAGGUCAAUUACCAGAUAACUAUAUUUGUACCCCUAUCUCUUUAAACCUGAGAUUCUGCUCCCAAUCAGCAGCACAGCUGUGGUGGAUAGGAAAUGCUUUGCUGCAGGGGCUUGAGCUACCUGGAACAUGUCCACCGUGGGCUGAGACUCCCUUGAAUUUGCAGCAGCGAAGCGAGGAUCUGAUAGGGCUGGUGCCGCUGCUCAGGACCACCACGUUUGAUCUUGAUGCUCGUUCGUAGAGAGGAGCCUAGGAUCACUUCCUGCCCUGAGCCCGGUUCCAUGGACGAUAAAGAAUCUGAAAGGAGAUCAAGCCAAGGGAGAGUUUAUUUAAUAGGCGGGGCAGGUAAUGGACACUUGUUUGUUCCACUGCCAAGAGCCCAGCCUUCCUAGCCAGACCUCCAGCACUGGUCUGCUCACAGCCGGAACUAUUUCUAAUUCAACUCCGCUUUAUGGACAAAAUCUCCUCACAAGGAUUCUCUCUCAUCGAUCCAGUUCCCCCAGUGCUAAGUUCUUAAAAGAUUUCAUUCUACAGCCCCUCCUAGAAGGGUCUCCACAAGCCACCAACGGUCCACAGGCCACAGUCUGGCACAGUAAGUGACGGGGAGUCCUGAAGAGUUUUGGAGGACUGGGAUAGCAGAAGUAUCCAAAAGUUUAAAUACUGCUCUGAAACUCUUUAGUCUGCCUGGACACUGGGCUGGUAACCUGGUGAGAAGAGGCUCUCGCAUGUUGUUUUGGGGUUUUUUUUUUUUGGUACUUCCUAAUCUUGGCCAGCUUGGAAACAACACUCAGCAAACGCCUCUUGCUGUAUUUUGGGCAUUAAACACUUCUAUGUCCUUGACAAAAUAAGCAACGACAGCGAUUACAUGACGAAAUGUGAAGUAAAAACAAACAUUUUAAGAACA